rnacentral:rRNA from 1 species
AACGAACGCUGGUGGCAGACUUAACACAUGCAAGUCGAGCGCAUCCUUCGGGGUGAGCGGCGGACGGGUGAGUAACGCGUGGGAACGUGCCCUCUUCUACGGAAUAGCCUCGGGAAACUGAGAGUAAUGCCGUAUACGCCCGCAAGGGGAAAGAUUUAUCGGAGGAGGAUCGGCCCGCGUUGGAUUAGGUAGUUGGUGGGGUAACGGCCUACCAAGCCGACGAUCCAUAGCUGGUUUGAGAGGAUGAUCAGCCACACUGGGACUGAGACACGGCCCAGACUCCUACGGGAGGCAGCAGUGGGGAAUCUUGGACAAUGGGGGCAACCCUGAUCCAGCCAUGCCGCGUGAUCGAUGAAGGCCUUAGGGUUGUAAAGAUCUUUCAGCUGGGAAGAUAAUGACGGUACCAGCAGAAGAAGCCCCGGCUAACUCCGUG